CGCAAUUUAAAGCAAUUUAUUUUGUGAUUAUCCAGCAGUCAGCAGAUGGCAUAGUAGCCAAACGCCCAUCGUAAUGGAUGGGACACGGUGAAGGCC
rfam:Catenovulum agarivorans DS-2 contig104, whole genome shotgun sequence.